rnacentral:rRNA from 1 species
GACGAACGCUGGCGGCGUGCCUAAUACAUGCAAGUAGAACGCUGAAGGAGGAGCUUGCUCUUCUGGAUGAGUUGCGAACGGGUGAGUAACGCGUAGGUAACCUGCCUGGUAGCGGGGGAUAACUAUUGGAAACGAUAGCUAAUACCGCAUAACAGUAGAUGUCGCAUGACAUUUGCUUAAAAGGUGCAAUUGCAUCACUACCAGAUGGACCUGCGUUGUAUUAGCUAGUUGGUGAGGUAACGGCUCACCAAGGCAACGAUACAUAGCCGACCUGAGAGGGUGAUCGGCCACACUGGGACUGAGACACGGCCCAGACUCCUACGGGAGGCAGCAGUAGGGAAUCUUCGGCAAUGGACGGAAGUCUGACCGAGCAACGCCGCGUGAGUGAAGAAGGUUUUCGGAUCGUAAAGCUCUGUUGUAAGAGAAGAACGAGUGUGAGAGUGGAAAGUU